CCUACGGGUGGCUGCAGUGGGGAAUAUUGGACAAUGGGCGAAAGCCUGAUCCAGCCAUGCCGCGUGUGUGAAGAAGGCCUUCGGGUUGUAAAGCACUUUCAGUGGGGAAGAAAGCCUUGGGGCUAAUACCCUCGAGGAAGGACAUCACCCACAGAAGAAGCACCGGCUAACUCCGUGCCAGCAGCAGCGGUAAUACGGAGGGUGCGAGCGUUAAUCGGAAUUACUGGGCGUAAAGCGCGCGUAGGCGGUCUGAUAAGCCGGUUGUGAAAGCCCCGGGCUCAACCUGGGAACGGCAUCCGGAACUGUCAGGCUAGAGUGCAGGAGAGGAAGGUAGAAUUCCCGGUGUAGCGGUGAAAUGCGUAGAGAUCGGGAGGAAUACCAGUGGCGAAGGCGGCCUUCUGGACUGACACUGACGCUGAGGUGCGAAAGCGUGGGUAGCAAACAGGAUUAGAUACCCGAGUAGUC
rnacentral:rRNA from 1 species